AAGAAGAGUUGUGAAACACAGAGACUGCUAAUUAUCUGAGCCUAGAGUUAAAGCCUUUAGUCUUCUUA
rnacentral:tRNA from 1 species